GGAGGAGUGGGGGAGGGAGGAUUGGAUUCCGCGGAGCGCCGCAACAAGCUGUGGCCACGGCGAACCCCCGGUGGUGGUGGACUCGCUCGAUUCCUCCUUGCCUUCCCUGCUGCCGCGUUGGUGCUUUCCUUCUCCUCGGGUCAUCGGUUCGAUGCGACCGUACACGUGUACGGCUGCUGCAGCAUGGAAAGGAAAAGGCCGUUGGGUGGUUGCCUAUUUGGCGUUUUUUCCCUUCUAAAUUCGAUGGUUAUAUACGUUUAGGCUAACUUCUUUGUACCAGAUAAAUGUUGUGCAAAAGAAGUCAUAUUUGGUAUUACUGUACCUAUAUUUAUACAUGCGAUGAAGUAUGGUGGUCCUGUAAUUUAUUACUAUUUGUAGCAGAAAAUAAAAUAAAGCUUUCACUCCCAGUGAGACAUUUCC